UGUUCAUUUUAUUCCUGUUUUAUUAUAAGUUUCAGUUUGGUGUUGUCACUUUAAGAGUGACAGAAAGUGUGCCUCUAGUGGUUGGGUCACAUGACCUGUGAACAGAAAGUAAAAGAGCAUUAGAGAGCAUGGUGGUGUUUUUUAAUGGCAGUAGCAAUCCAGGGACAUCUGCCUGAACAUUCUUGUUUUUGAUAGCAUCGUGGUUUCACCCUUUUCUGAGGUACCAAUAAACCUGUGGACAAGCAGA